rnacentral:rRNA from 1 species
UUGAAUUUGGAAGAAGGCGAGAAAAGCUGUGUGAAUAGAAGAUAGAGCCCGUACCGCAAACCGACACAGGUAGAUAGGAAGAAGAUUCUAAGGCCAACGGGAGAAGGGUUGUUAAGGAACUCGGCAAGUUGACCCCGUAACUUAGGGAGAAGGGGUGCUCUUUAAGGAGAGCCGCAGAGAAUAGGCCCAAGCGACUGUUUAGCAAAAACACAGCUCUAUGCCAAAUCGAAAGAUGACGUAUAUGGGGUGACACCUGCCCGGUGCCGGAAGGUUAAGAGGAGGAGUGAGAGCUCUGAAUUGAAGCCCCGGUAAACGGCGGCCGUAACGAUAACGGUCCUAAGGUAGCGAAAUUCCUUGUCAGGUAAGUUCUGACCCGCACGAAUGGUGUAACGAUUUGGGCACUGUCUCAACAACCUGCCCGGCGAAAUUGUAGUACCGGUGAAGAUGCCGGUUACCCGCGACUAGACGGAAAGACCCCAUGGAGCUUUACUGCAGCUUAAUAUUGAAUUUCGGUAUUUCAUGUACAGGAUAGGUGGGAGACAGGGAACCAUAGGCGUCAGCUUAUGGGGAGUCGACCUUGGGAUACCACUCUUGAGGUGCUGGAAUUCUAACCUGUGGCUCUGAAUCGAGUCAGGGGACAUUGUUAGGCGGGCAGUUUGACUGGGGCGGUCGCCUCCAAAAAGGUAACGGAGGCGCUCAAAGGUUCGCUCAGCAUGGAUGGAAACCAUGCUUUUGAGUGUAAACGCAAAAGCGAGCCUAACUGCGAGACUGACGGGUCGAGCAGUAACGAAAGUUGGAGUUAGUGAUCCGGCGGUAUGUGAGUGGAAAUGCCGUCGCUCAACGGAUAAAAGCUACCCUGGGGAUAACAGGCUGAUCUCCCCCAAGAGUCCACAUCGACGGGGAGGUUUGGCACCUCGAUGUCGGCUCAUCGCAUCCUGGGGCUGAAUUCGGUCCCAAGGGUUUGGCUGUUCGCCAAUUAAAGCGGUACGCGAGCUGGGUUCAGAACGUCGUGAGACAGUUCGGUCCCUAUCUGUCGUGGGCGUAGGAUAUUUGAAAGGAGCUGUCCCUAGUACGAGAGGACCGGGAUGGACGCACCGCUGGUGCACCAGUUGUCAUGCCAAUGGCACAGCUGGGCAGCUAUGUGCGGAACGGAUAAACGCUGAAGGCAUCUAAGCGUGAAGCCGACCUUAAGAUAAGAUAUCCCUUCGUAAGAGUAAGACCUCUCAUAGACUAUGAGUUUGAUAGGCCUAAGGUGUAAGCACAGUGAUGUGUUCAGCCUGCAGGUACUAAUCGGUCGAGGGCUAUUCCA